rnacentral:rRNA from 1 species
GGCUCAGAUUGAACGCUGGCGGCAUGCCUUACACAUGCAAGUCGAACGGCAGCACGGGGCAACCUGGUGGCGAGUGGCGAACGGGUGAGUAAUGCAUCGGAACGUGCCAUUGAGUGGGGAUAACGUAGCGAAAGUUGCGCUAAUACCGCAUAUUCUGUGAGCAGGAAAGCAGGGGACCGCAAGGCCUUGCGCUCUUUAAGCGGCCGAUGUCAGAUUAGCUAGUUGGUGAGGUAACGGCUUACCAAGGCGACGAUCUGUAGCGGGUCUGAGAGGAUGAUCCGCCACACUGGAACUGAGACACGGUCCAGACUCCUACGGGAGGCAGCAGUGGGGAAUUUUGGACAAUGGGCGCAAGCCUGAUCCAGCCAUGCCGCGUGAGUGAAGAAGGCCUUCGGGUUGUAAAGCUCUUUCGGCCGGGAAGAAAUCGCAUGGGUUAAUACCCUGUGUGGAUGACGGUACCGGAAUAAGAAGCACCGGCUAACUACGUG